rnacentral:rRNA from 1 species
CGAGUAGACGGCGAUGCAAGUCAGAUGUGAAAUGCUAGGGCUUAACCUUAGAACUGCAUCUGAAACUGUAUUGCUAGAGUGCAGGAGAGGUAAACGGAAUUCCUAGUGUAGCGGUGAAAUGCGUAGAUAUUAGGAGGAACAUCAGUGGCGAAGGCGGUUUACUGGACUGUAACUGACGUUGAGGCGCGAAAGCGUGGGAAGCAAACA